rnacentral:miRNA from 1 species
UAGGUAGUUUCUUGUUGUUGGG